UAGUUUUAAACACGUUUUACGGUAGCAUUUUAUUGAAUCCAGAAUUCAGUAAAGAGAUUCUAAAAAAAUACGAUACAUUUAUAAAUAUAAAAUAAUUCACAGUUAAUACAUUACAUACAUACAUACAAUAGAAUGCAGUUCAUAUACAUAAUAUAAUUCUUGUUUCUAAUACUUUUCGCUUAACGCUGCCCAAUUGGGCGGGACCUAUUUAAGGUAUGCAUCGCGCACAAGCAUAUCUGAGUAAAUAUAGUAGUCAAUAUGUUAUGUGAUGUGUGUUGCUCAAGUACCUUUUCGUUAUCAUUAAUAUACUUGUACAUACAAGUACAUAUAUGUAUUUUGCAUAUGUAAUUUUCGUCUUCUUCAUUUGCUCGCCAUACCACUUAAUGUUGAAAUUAAUCUUUAGCUUAAAGCUUCCUCAACUACUCAUACAAUUACUAUGUUUCUUAACUGCUAAUAGCUGCUAGCUAUCAGGAAGAGCAACACUGAGCGAAUUGAGAAGUUACUCUCAUAAAGAACGAAAUAACGAUAAAGCAAAGAAACGAAAAACUAGCAGAACUAACAGUACCGUAAGCAUACUAGCAGGAAUUAGCACGAAACUAUCAAAAUGUUGUUUUUCUAUAAUCACAUCACACUAUCAAUACUUGAAGAUUAAUCAAUUGAAUUUUUAUUUUCACAAUUCGAAACUAUUAAAAUAAACAAGACCGAAACAAAUUCCACAAAUCUCGCUUGUAUGGUAUGUGUUUUAACAGCUGUUUCUUCAUAUGGUUGUAGCAGCUCUCUUAACUUUUUACGCUUUCAAUUUGUGCUCUCUUUCGCUAGUUGCUGCUAGUUUUUUUGUGUUAAGAAACGCUAGCUAGUGAUAGUUAGCAGUUAUGAAACAAACUUAAUGUGUAUUUGUUUGCUGGUACAAAUCAGCUGUUCCUUAAUUAAAUCAAAUUACUGUUUUCAGGAGUGAAGUAUGUUAUGGUAUAUGUUUGGCCUCUUCAACUUAAGUUCUUCAGAAAUCAUUGUACAACACUAUUUUUUUUUUGUUAGUUUUCGAAAAUAUUUAUCUCUCUUUUUUAUUCAGAGUUGUCUAGAAGCUUUUUUACUUUUAAAGCCAAAAUAUAAUUAUUUUGCGUCGUUUUCGCGAAAAAAUAUAUUUUGAUUUCUAUUUCGAGCUCGAAUGUGAACGCUAAAAGCGUUAAGAAAAUCUUAGUGUCGUUUUGAAAAUCUUCCGUCACAAUCAGCUAAAACUCGGCGCCUACAACAGUCUAACCCUAAGCUAAUAUUUCCUAAAUAUGCCUUAUGUGCUUCCGAUGCCAUCCUAUCUUACUUGAGAAGGUCUUUGUAAAAUAAAUCUUCAUUGGGAUCUCUCGAGAUUGGGUUCUAUAGUUUUAAACUGACUUUUCCGUAAGCAUACUUGCAAAAGAACCCUACAACUUUAUCGAUUAUGCUCGAGUUCUUGAUCCAAUUUUCGUUUUUGAAAGUAAUACUUGAUAGACUCCGUCAAACAAAAUUGUGUUUUUAAGUUUGAAACCGACUUUUCCGUGAGAAUGCAUGCAAAAAUAAAUCAAUACCUGUAUUUACUUUGUA